rnacentral:rRNA from 1 species
UACAGAGGUGGCAAGCGUUGUUCGGAAUUAUUGGGCGUAAAGGGCGCGUAGGCGGCCUGGCAAGUGGAAGGUGAAAUCCCUCGGCUUAACCGAGGAACUGCCCUCCAAACUGCUUGGCUUGAGUCCGGGAGAGGUGAGUGGAAUUCCCAGUGUAGCGGUGAAAUGCGUAGAUAUUGGGAGGAACACCAGUGGCGAAGGCGGCUCACUGGACCGGAACUGACGCUGAGGCGCGAAAGCGUGGGGAGCAAACGGG